CUAUUCAGCAGGAUCUCCUCCUCCAAUGUUUCUAUGGUCUCACUUUUGUUCUUAAGAUUGGUCACUUGUGUAGUGUCUCUAUUUCUUCUUCAUCAGUUUAGCUAGAGGCUUGUCAAUUUUACCGAUCUUCUUAAAGAAUCAACUUUCUGUUUCAUUGAUUGUCUAUAUUGUUCUUUCUGUUUCCUGAUUUAUUGAUAGCCAUGUUCUUAUCUUAUUUCCACUUUUCUGCUUACCUUGGAUUUACUUUGCUUUUCUUUUUCUAGCUUCAUAAGCUGGCAACUUAGAAAGAGCUCACACUUAAGGCAAUGGCAAAAGAAAUAAGGUGGAUUAUAAGCAAAUUCAGACUCUAGAAAAGUAAGAGAUGGGACAUCCAAGAAAACAUAUGAAGUCAACGUCAGACAGAGACUAUCUCCAGAUACUACACAUAAUCCCCUAAACACACACACACACACACACACACACGCACACGCACACGCACACGCACACACUCUGAUCUGCAUGCAUGCACAGCCACACACUGAAAAAUAAUGCACUUUCUUAGUCUCUAACCUUCUACCACUCUUUCAUUUCUAACUCACCCAAACAGAAGAACUUCAGCUUGUAACUGUCACAGGCUAGAGGACCACCUUGAUGUCUUAUGGAAAAUGUACCUGGAUGAGCUGCUUUCUCUCUCCUGUCCCUCUUCUUCAGCUCAUUGCUAAAAUACAGCUCUUCACCACAGACUAUGUGGCAGAAACAACCCUAUGUAUUUGCCAGAUCCCUUCGGUCUCCUUCUGGGCACAGCAAGGGGCCUGGUGUCCCAGCCCCAUCGAGUCUAGGUGGCCGUGUUACUAGUUCUGCUCAGUGGCGUGUCCACUUCCAGGCCUGGCACCUCACAUCUCCAGAGCCACAUUCUCACCCCUGUUUUCUGAGAGUCGCCAAGGCCUGGAGCAACCAGAACAUUCACCAGCACACAUUCUGGGACAGAAGUGAAAAAAUGACGUCUAUCCUGUUAAACCACUGAAAUUUAUGGAUUUUUCUGUCAGGGCAGAAACAUAACUUACAAUGACUAGUACCAACCAAGCUACACACAAUCAAGUACCAAUAGCAAGCCUGUUUCUUUAAAAUCUGUAAGAGAAAAGAAGUGUGUUCUGUUGUUCAAAGAUAUGUGCAUCACAUAUCCUGAAAACAACUAUUAACUGUUUUAGGAGAAAAGACACAGUGGUGGAGUAGUAAGGUAAACAUUUAAAGUCAUUCUAUUAUGCCCUGCUGAAUUGGCCUUGGUUUUUUGGGUUUUUUGUUUUGUUUUGUUUUUUUGUUUUCGCUUUUGCUUUUUAGGGCUACACCUUGGGCCUAUGGAAGUUCCCAUUCUAGAGGUCGAAUCAGAGCUGUGGCCAUUGGCCUACACUACAGCCACAGGAACUCAGGAUCCAAGCUCCAUCUGCAACCUACACUAUAGCUCACAGCAAUGCCAGAUCCUUAUCCCACUGAGUGAGGCCAGGGAUCGAACCUGUGUCCUCAUGGAUACUAGCUGGGUUUGUUACUGCUGACCCACAAGGGGAACUCCGGCUUCUGCUUUUUGACACAGUGAAGCUAAGAACAGUUUGAAAGAGUACGAAACGCAUAUGAGGGUGAGGGUGUUCCCCUCCUCCCAGGCAAAUGGACUAAAAAGCUCUCCACUAAGGAGAUUUAGGAUAAAACUUCAUUACCAGCAAGUAUAUUAGACCUAUCAUAGUGCAGUUGGGUGCUACUUGUGAGGAAAGUGGGUGACAUUCAGAUGAUAGAUUUAUGUCUGCAUGUUAACUAGAUAGGGGUGGAAAAUAACCAUUCAGUUAAGCUGAGCAAGUCUCAGCUUCCUAGGUGGGACCAAGAGGGACAUUAGAGAUGAUCUAACCCAACCUCUUUACUUUAUAGAUGAGAAAACCCGUUAUACUCUUGGCACCAGUGCAAGACACUUGUCUAAGUGCGGUCAUCAUAAUAUUUUACUUUAGGCGUUCCCAUUGUGGCUCAGGGGUAAUGAACCCACUAGUAUCCAUGAAGAUAUGGGUUCAAUCCCUGGCCUUGCUCAGUGGGUUAAGGAUAUGGCCUUGCUGUGAGAUGUGAUGUAGGUCACAGAUGAGGCUCAGAUCUGGAGUUGCUGUGGCUAUGGGAGGCUGGCAGCUGCAGCUCCGAUUUCACCUCUAGCCUGAGAACUUCCACAUGCUGCAGGUUUGGCCCUAAAAAGACGGAAAAAAAAAAGUGUCAUGGGUGGACACAUCCGACAACCUGCUCUUUUCUGGAGCAGUCAUCACCUUCUAGGGGUGCCCUCCUGACACUCAAGUGUGACUUGGGAAAGAAUGCUCAGGCCACUGGACACCUGAGGCAGGAGACCAACGGAGGAAGUCAACCUGGGGCCAGAGAGUGCUAUGUGGGAUUUCACUCUAGUCAUUAGCUUGCCAAAUGAGUUACUAAUAAAAAUGCUUUUGGAGUUCCCAUCAUGGCACAUCAGAAACGAAUCCAACCAGGAACCAUGUGGUUGCGGGUUCGAGCCCUGGCCUCACUCAAUGGGUUAAAUAUCUGGCAUUGCCAUGAGCUGUGUUGUAGGUCGAAGAGGCUCAGAUCUGGUGUUGCUGUGGCUUUGGUGUAGGCUGGCAGCAACACCUCCAAUUAGACCCCUAGCCUGGGAAUCUCUAUAUGCUGUGAGUGCGGCUGUAAAAGGACAAAAGACAAAAAUAAAUAAAUAAAUAGUAAAAUAAAAAAUAAAAAUGCUUUUAAGAUUUUCACUUCAUUCUCUCGCCCUAACCCCAGACACACACCCACAUACAUCAGAAAUCAGAUGUAGUUGUAUCUACCCCCUUAUGUUUAUGUGUAAACAUAAUAUGUAGAAAGAAAAUUGAAAGCCCAAGUUGAUUUCUUUUGUAAUUUAAGCUAUAGUAACCCGCUACUGAUUUUUUUCAGAUAAAGAUAUUUCCAAAAAAGUAUUAGUAAUUUGUAGUUGAUGGAUAUUCAUCGAUAAUGUCAGAACGUAGAAAUUGCCUCUCCUUUUGUUGUGAAUAUAAGUGGAAUAUGAACAUUUUAUUGUUAAAGAGCUUCUGAAACUUUUAACAUUAAGGAGGGCUGUGAGAGAAGGACUGUGUAUAUAUAUGUAUGACUGGGUCACUUUGCUGUACGGAAGAAAUUGACACAACAUGGUGAAUCAACUAUAGUUUAAUUUAAAAAAUUAAACAUAGUAAAAAAAUUUUAAAAAUUGUUAUAAAGGAGAGCUACUUCAAUGCUCUAAAAUUUGUCAUUUGGUAAAAAUGCCAUACACAAAACAACAGGACUUCUCUUCAAAUCCAUUUUGUUCAGAAAAAUAGACUUUACGUGAUUUUUUAAAAGUGAUUUAAUAGAGAUACACUUUGGGGGCAUGAGAUUGUUUCCUCCUUUAAUUUUUUCUCAUUU
rnacentral:lncRNA from 1 species